rfam:Candidatus Woesebacteria bacterium RIFCSPHIGHO2_01_FTLL_38_9b rifcsphigho2_01_scaffold_54581, whole genome shotgun sequence.
GGUCGCUUAGCUCAGUUGGUUAGAGCGAACGGUUUACAUCCGUUAGGUCGGGGGUUCGAGCCCCUCAGCGACCA